GUAGGGAAUAUUGGACAAUGGGCGAAAGCCUGAUCCAGCCAUGCCGCGUGAUAGAUGAAGGCCCUCUGGGUUGUAAAUAUCUUUUAUCUGGGAAGAAACUCCUCUAUUCUUAGAGGCCUGACGGUACCAGAGGAAUAAGCACCGGCUCACUCCGUGCCAGCAGCCGCGGUAAUACGGAGGGUGCAAGCGUUAUCCGGAUUCACUGGGUUUAAAGGGUGCGUAGGCGGGUUGAUAAGUCAGUGGUGAAAGCUCCGGGCUUAACUUAGAAACUGCCAUUGAUACUAUCAGACUUGAAUGUCGUAGAGGUAAGCGGAAUGUUGCAUGUAGCGGUGAAAUGCUUAGAUAUGUUACAGAACACCAAUGGCGAAGGCAGCUUACUAGGCGAUAAUUGACGCUGAUGCACGAAAGCGUGGGGAGCAAACAGGAUUAGAAACCCUUGUAGUCC
rnacentral:rRNA from 1 species